AGUAUUAUAAACCAUCUGUACUGGUCCGUGGUCUCGACGCCUCCUGGCAGUGGACAACUUGUGGUGGACAAAUGGACAUCAGUCAUCGAUCACAUCCACAACAGGCACACCGGGUCGAGGGACUGUUCUCUUCUUGUGCGCACGGAGUCCUGGAAGGCAGGGAACAGCGUAAACCGUGGCUGAGUUGUCAUACGAAGGUGUCUAUUGAAGUGGAGAAGAUCAUCCGAACAAGAGGCUGUGUGCAGAUAUACAACGCCUGUCCCCGUCACACCAGACAUCCUACCUCGAAGCAUUCCAUAGCGUGAUUACCCACUUUGCGCCAAAGAUGUGCCACUUUUCAUACAAAGGGAUGGAGAGCAGAGGGAUCCUGGCUGCUUUGCAUUUCAACGAGAAUGCCAACAGGGAGCAGCGGAGCAGACACGAUGGCGAGAUGAUGUUCAACCUGCGGUAUCCAAAGUAUAAGAAGGGCGGCUACAUUGUGAGGAAAGUCUUACAGGAGCCAUCUUUUGGCUAUGCUGAAGAGCUGAUGCGGAUGGUGGAGGCCAUGUGUCGAGGUGAGGACUACAACGGUGAUGACUUUGACAUCCCAGACCCGUCCCCUGUUACAGAGCCACUCAAUGCAUCAUUCGAAAAGCCGGAUAAGAGGGCAGCAGUCAAUGCACAUAUGACCCGCUUUAGCAUUACAAAUAACACUAAAUGUACACAUGAGAACCGGACUGAAUGGAAUAAACACAAACUUAAUUUCA